rnacentral:rRNA from 1 species
UACGUAGGAUGCUAGCGUUGUCCGGAUUUACUGGGCGUAAAGCGCGCGCAGGCGGCAGAGCAAGUACCGAGUGAAAUCUCCCUGCUCAACGGGGAGGGUGCUCGGUAGACUGCUCAGCUAGAGGACGGUAGAGGGGGGUGGAAUUGCUGGUGUAGCGGUGAAAUGCGUAGAGAUCAGCAGGAACACCCGUGGCGAAGGCGGCCCCCUGGGCCGUACCUGACGCUGAGGCGCGAAGGCUAGGGGAGCGAACGGG